UACCCAAUGACGUCUCUAAGAAGACAUCUAGAAAGAGAAUUAAAGAUUUUAUCGGUGAUGGAUGGGGAUGCGUCUGAUUAGCUUGUUGGCGGGUAACGCCCACCAAGGCGACGAUCAGUAGGGGUUCUGAGAGGAAGGUCCCCCACAUUGGAACUGAGACACGGUCCAAACUCCUACGGGAGGCAGCAGUGAGGAAUAUUGGUCAAUGGACGAGAGUCUGAACCAGCCAAGUAGCGUGCAGGAAGACGGCCCUAUGGGUUGUAAACUGCUUUUAUAAGGGAAUAAAGUGAGUCUCGUGAGACUUUUUGCAUGUACCUUAUGAAUAAGGACCGGCUAAUUCCGUG
rnacentral:rRNA from 1 species